GCGGGUAGAUGUACACAUGAUUGUCAAUAAAUAUGCAUUUCCAGUCUUGGUCUUUGGUAAAGGUCCAACACAGUCAAUUAGAACUCUGCUGAAAGGUUCGUCAAAGGCUGGAAUAGGCAGAAGUGGUGCUGGUGGUAUUUUCUGGUUAGGUUUACCAACAACCUGGCAUGUAUGACAUGAUUUGCAGUAUUCUGCAACAUCAUUUCUAAG
rnacentral:lncRNA from 1 species